CAUAAUCACGAAACCCUAUUGAAUUCUAUAUAAGCAUCUUAUCCGCAGCUCAAAGAAAUUAUCUGCACACAAAAAAGAAGCUAAAUGGAAAAGAGUGAGCUAACUGCAGAUCAUCAGGCCAGCAACAUGAGAGGCAACGGCAGCCAAAACUCCGGCCGAGGGAAACCCCACCCGGCCCCUUCUUUUGGCAACCUCCCUCAGAAGCGAGGCACGGUGAAGGCGAAUCUGUUUGGUACUACUGGGGCGUCCAAGCCCAGUACUUCUGCUUCCUCAAGGCCUCAAAAUAUUAAUUAAUGGGACUUUAUUAAUUUCCCAUUUGCUGCUGAUGAUGAUUAAUAUCAUGGAAACCCCGGCCUUGUGUGAUGAAAGAACAGCUUUAGGCCAUUACUCUCUGUCAGAGUCUCUCCGGCCUCCCUCUCCUUUUUUCCCCGUUCUGUCCAGCUUUGAAACUCAGAUCUACCUUCAUCGAUCGGCCCCCCGCCACGGCCAUGUCCGUACGUCCAACCUUCAAACUGCCGUCUCCACGUUUCAUUUUGCCUAGUCAUCGGCCUCAUGAAUAGGUCUUUGUAAAUAUCUCUUUAAUUUGCCAAUGGAUAAUCAGAACCCUAGAUCUGAUGUCCCUGCUGCAGGACAUUCAAGUAGAUAGCUGACCUCAUCUUCAUCAUUAGAAGUUACUGAUCUCGUAUAGUCGCCACACAAGUCAGUACAGAUCAUCUCCGAUCCAAGCUCUCUUCCCGGUGGCCGGCCCCUUUGUUGCAGCUGCACAAGUGCUCCACAAAACAUCAUGAUUUCCUGCAAUCUUUCAUGCUGUGGUCGAUCGGUAACUGUACGUAAGUGAUGAAGAAGCCAUAUUUAGGCGCGCUAGACCUGCAAGCUGUCGACGUUACAGAUCAUGAUCCAUUUUCGGUAGUACGUUUGUAAUUUUCUAUUUUCCGUGCUAUAUUGCGGGGAUUAGUGUUGGAAAAUGGAACCCUAGUAUCCCUCCUGCUGUAUGUAUCUUCAAGUUUUUAUUAAUAAAAAUAGUCUGACAUAUGAUAUA